rnacentral:lncRNA from 1 species
AUCAAGCAACACAAUUAGGGUUUCCCUUUCAGGUAAGCAACAGUCUCUUUCUUGAUCUUUAACCUAAGUAACUAUUUAAUAUGAAACUAAUAGCUCCUAUAUCCCUUGCAGUUAUUAUAACCAGGUCAAGGAGGAUGAAGCUGAUCAUAAGUAUUGCAAUCAUAAGCAUGGUUGUGGUUAGUUCCUGCUCCGCGAUGCCGCGGAAGGUGAUGAAUGAAGCAAAAGAUGAACAUGGCGUGUCGCAAGCAAUAGCAGAAGGACCAGCGACAAGUCUGAGCUCCGCAUGCCCAGCGGCCUCGACCGACAACCAUCACCAGAUACCGAGAGACCAGUACAAUAACUGGAGCAGCCCGGGAAACAUGCCAGGGAGCGGCGGCGAUAGCGGCGAGAGGAUGUCGAGCCGAGGUUUGAACAACUAGCUAGCUAGCUAGCUAGCUAAGGAUAUGGUCUCACACUGUUGUUGCAUGCAUGAGCGAAUCAGUUAUAUACGUACGUAUAUAUGUGGAAUUCAUGCAUAGGGUUAAUUCGACGUGUUAUAUAUAUAUGGCUUGUGUUAUGUAUGUAUGAAGUAGAUGCAUAUAUAUGUAUAUAAAUAAUCACUAGUCGUUGCACUCGUGCAUGUAGUAAAAUAAGUGCGACUUGGUUGGCUUAAUGUAUAGGAGAAUCCUCAGUAUUUUACGCAGUAGUGAGAAUUAAAACGAUGUGAUGUAGCCUUAAUGAUCUCUCUCUCUCUCUCUAUGUUAUAUGUUUGUGCGCAU